rnacentral:sRNA from 1 species
AUGGCUGUCGUCAGCUCGUGUCGUGAGAUGUUGGGUUAAGUCCCGCAACGAGCGCAACCCUUGUCGUUAAUUGCCAUCAUUUAGUUGGGCACUUUAACGAGACUGCCGGUGACAAACCGGAGGAAGGUGGGGAUGACGUCAAGUCCUCAUGGCCCUUAUGGGUAGGGCUUCACACGUCAUACAAUGGUCGGUACAGAGGGUAGCCAACCCGCGAGGGGGAGCCAAUCUCAGAAAGCCGAUCGUAGUCCGGAUCGCAGUCUGCAACUCGACUGCGUGAAGUCGGAAUCGCUAGUAAUCGCGGAUCAGCAUGUCGCGGUGAAUACGUUCCCGGGCCUUGUACACACCGCCCGUCACACCAUGGGAGUGGGUUCCACCAGAAGUAGCUAGCCUAACCGCAAGGGGGGCGGCUACCACGGUGAGAUUCAUGACUGGGGUGAAGUCGUAACAAGGUAGCCGUAUCGGAAGGUGCGGCUGGAUCACCUCCUUUCUAGAGAGAGUCAGCUGUGCUCCAGUGCCCACGCUUAUCGGUUGUAAGUUUCCUCCCUGGGGCCUUGGGCCCGGGUCAAUAGACCGGGUCUGUAGCUCAGUUGGUUAGAGCACCGUCUUGAUAAGGCGGGGGUCGAUGGUUCGAAUCCAUCCAGACCCACCAACGUUUCUGAAGAGCCGUGGAUUGGAGUACCGAAUACCGGGGGUGUAGCUCAGUUGGGAGAGCACCUGCUUUGCAAGCAGGGGGUCAUCGGUUCGAUCCCGUUCACCUCCACCAGUUUUGGUUUCGGGUCUGUAUGUGAACCGUGAUGUGUGAUGAGUAGGCAGUGAAGCGGGUACUGCUUACUCAUCACCCAUUAUUGGGUGUGAUUGGCUGUUCUUUAACAAUCUGGAGAAGUAAAGUGUGACGGUUCGUUUUUUGAGCCGGGGGCGGAGCAUUGUCCCUGGAGCAGAUGCGAAUCGACACAGGGUUGUGAUUGUAUCGACUGACUCGCGUUCUUAAUCUGGGGCGCGGGUUGGCACAAGCGCGAGAAGUAUUCCUGUGGCCUGGAAGUUUCGAUUGAGCCCUGGUGGGAUUGGGGUGGAUUGAGAGCUUAAGGUUAUAGGGUCAAGCGAAUAAGUGCAUAUGGUGGAUGCCUUGGCGAUCACAGGCGAUGAAGGACGUAGUAGCUUGCGAAAAGUCACGGGGAGCUGGCAAACGAGCUUUGAUCCGUGAAUGUCCGAAUGGGGAAACCCGG